rnacentral:rRNA from 1 species
CAGCCGCCGCGGGAAUACGGAGGGAGCUAGCGUUGUUCGGAAUUACUGGGCGUAAAGCGCGCGUAGGCGGUUACUCAAGUCAGAGGUGAAAGCCCGGGGCUCAACCCCGGAACUGCCUUUGAAACUAGGUGACUAGAAUCUUGGAGAGGUCAGUGGAAUUCCGAGUGUAGAGGUGAAAUUCGUAGAUAUUCGGAAGAACACCAGUGGCGAAGGCGACUGACUGGACAAGUAUUGACGCUGAGGUGCGAAAGCGUGGGGAGCAAACAGGAUUAGAUACCCCCGUAGUCCCUGUCUCUUAUAC